rnacentral:rRNA from 1 species
UUGGAGGGCAAGUCUGGUGCCAUCAGCCGCGGUAAUUCCAGCUCCAAUAGCGUAUAUUAAAGUUGUUGCAGUUAAAAAGCUCGUAGUUGAACUUCGGGGUUUACCCAUUGGUCAGGCUUAAUUGUCUGCACUGGUGAGAUGAAUCUCUACCUUCUGAGGAACUUUCAUGCCAUUUAUUUGGUGUGAUGGGAAAUCAGGACUGUUACUUUGAAAAAAUUAGAGUGUUUAAAGCAGGCUAACGUCUGAAUACAUUAGCAUGGAAUAAUGAAAUAGGACGGACUGAUUCUAUUUCGUUGGUUUCUAGGAUCACCGUAAUGAUUAAUAGGGAUAGUUGGGGGCAUUAGUAUUCAAUUGUCAGAGGUGAAAUUCUUGGAUUUAUUGAAGACUAACUACUGCGAAAGCAUUCGCCAAGGAUGUUUUCAUUAAUCAAGAACGAAAGUUAGGGGAUCGAAGACGAUCAGAUACCGUCGUAGUCUUAACCAUAAACUAUGCCGACUAGGGAUCGGACGAAGUUAAUUUUAUAAUGACGCGUUCGGCACUUACGGGAAAC